CAUUUCCGUCCUUUUUCCAGAUUUCACGGAUGGAACAAUAGAAUCAAGUCCCAAUUUGCUUCACAGGUCACUGCACAAGCCGUCGAAAGGCUGUUAGCUUCACAAAAGAAAAAAGAACAGGCAAUCAUGCAUUUAAGUUCCCAUUCCAACCCGUGUCGCUUGUCAUCUCGGUUACUGUCUUCUUCAGAAUGCCAUCUAUCCUGCAGUGAGAGCAAUCCUCACAGACAUGACAGAUGUGAAAGAGGAAAACGAUCAACAGCUUAUGAGAAAAGAAAAUGACUUCACCAUGCAGUAGUUGUAACAGGUUUUUGCUCAUAUAUCUUGGCAUUAAACUACAUUCAGCUUAAACAUUUGUCAGGAAUUCAGCUUCCUGAACCGGGUUUGUUACAUUGCCACUCUAACCUGUUUUUUCUGAGUUUCCCCAAACACAUCCUGACUAAUUAUUCAACCAUCGACACCUGCUGCUGCCUGCACACCCGGUCCUGAUUACCAUCCCCUUCACCAUUUAAGCCGUGACCAGACAACCAGUCCCUGCCGGAUCGUUAGCGUACCACCUAAUCACUUGGAUCGCCCUUUUCCCCUGCCUAGCCGUUGACCCGACUCCCGCCCCCACUCAUCACCACCCAACUGGACCAGACCUUCCCCACACCUUUUUUUGCAUAAUAAAUACCCACCUUUUAUUUUGAUUCUUCCGUGUGGUCUGCUUUUGGGUUCCCGUCCUGGACGAUUCGUGACAACAUUUGUACAAACAAAA
ensembl:lncRNA